AGGGGGCGGAGAAACGACGCCGGAAAACAGAUUUAAACCAAGUUUCGACAGUUGCCUCUGUUUGCUAGUACUGUGAGAGAACACCGUUACCGGGGAGGUCUGGGUACUGAAACAAAUCCUGGAGCUGCUUUUUGGUCGUUAAUGAAGAGGUCUGGGCCCUAAAACAAACUCUGGAGCUGCUUUUUGGCGUUAACAAAGAGGUCUAGAUGCUAAAACAAACCCUGGAGCUGAUGGUUUUUGUCGAAAACGAGUGAGAUUGGACGCUGAACGGGGCGAAGGUGUCACCACUUCGUCCACCACAUCGUCCUCGAUCACAGAGACGUCAUCCUCGAUCACAGAGACAUGGUCCAUGAUCGGAGAGACAUUGUUGAGGAUGAGGGAGACAUCGUCCACGAUCAGAGACGUCGUCUAUGAUCGCAGAGACCUUGUCAAAGACGAGAGAGACGUUGUCCAUGAUCAGAGACAUUGUCCCAUGCUUCGUAGAGACCUUGCGAUAGAAUCGGCGGAGACGGGGGUCACCGAUUUGACGGCACUGCCCGCGAUCAUGGAGACAUUGUUAAUGGUCACAGAGACAGCGUCUAGGAUCUCAGAGACAUCGUCCACGAUCACAAAGACAUUGUCCAUGAUCACAGAGACUUUGUCCAUAAUCUCAGAGACAUUGUCCGCGAUCACAGAGACGUAGUCCACGAUCCGAGUCUUCAUACAGUGAAGAAGUUCUUCAAGACCAGGACAGAGGCCUCCAGGUGUCACCACUUUGUCCACCACAUCGUCCACGAUCACAGAGACGUCGUCCACGAUCACUGAGACAUGGUCCAUGAUCGGAGAGACAUUGUUGAGGAUGAGGGAGACAUCGUCCACGAUCAGAGACAUCGUCUAUGAUCGCAGAGACCUUGUCAAAGACGAGAGAGACGUUGUCCAUGAUCAGAGACAUUGUCCCAUGCUUCGUAGAGACCUUGCGAUAGAAUCGGCGGAGACGGGGGUCACCGAUUUGACGGCACUGCCCGCGAUCAUGGAGACAUUGUCAAUGGUCAAAGAGACAGCGUCUAGGAUCUCAGAGACAUCGUCCACGAUCACAAAGACAUUGUCCAUGAUCACAGAGACUUUGUCCAUAAUCUCAGAGACAUUGUCCGCGAUCACAGAGACGUAGUCCACGAUCCGAGUCUUCAUACAGUGAAGAAGUUCUUCAAGACCAGGACAGAGGCCUCCAGGUGUCACCACUUCGUCCACCACAUCGUCCUCGAUCACAGAGACGUCAUCCUCGAUCACAGAGACAUGGUCCAUGAUCGGAGAGACAUUGUUGAGGAUGAGGGAGACAUCGUCCACGAUCAGAGACGUCGUCUAUGAUCGCAGAGACCUUGUCAAAGACGAGAGAGACGUUGUCCAUGAUCAGAGUCUUCAUACAGUGAAGAAGUUCUUCAAGACCAGGACAGAGGCCUCCAGGUGUCACCACUUCGUCCACCACAUCGUCCACGAUCACAGAGAGUCUUCCAACAGUGAAGUUAUCUGAAAUCAGGACAGAGGCCUCCAGGUAAUUCACAAACAGCUUUACAUCAUCUGUGCAACACAGAGCACUGACUCCCUUUCCCUCUCUCCUUCUCCCCCGUGUAUCUGAAACAGACAUGAAAACAUUUCCAGAAUAUCAUUGUUAGUUUAUUCUUUUCAGUUUGACUUUACCUUACUAUACUAUGACAUUUUUUCACUUUGUUGCCUGUGACAUGCAGCUUAACGCAAAGGAACUAUCUUAAAGCAGCCAUCUUACCUUUCUCCACAGACACGCACACUAACAGUGUUUGUAGGUCAGGUUAGAUAAUUGUUUUUGU